rnacentral:lncRNA from 1 species
UGAGAUAUCAAAUGUCAAGAGAAUGAUUGUACCUUCCUGAUGCAACAGAACCACUGUAACCAGCCGAGAACGAUCAACGCCAGGAAUGCACCCAUAUCUCUACAAUGAUGGAAGACCUCUAGAGUUAAUAUUUCACGAAGAGAUUUGGAUUUAGAUCUCUUCUAAAUCAGCAAAUCUGACACCCGACUGAUUAAAUUAGGUCAACAUAUCAAUAUGUCUAACCAUCCU